rnacentral:rRNA from 1 species
GGGGGGGGGGGGGGGGGGGCGGGGCGGGGGCGGGGCGGGGGGGGGCGGCGGGGUCGGGGGCGGACGGGGGGGUGACCCGCUGGGCCGGCCCCUUCGUGUCGGAGUACCGCGGGGAAACUAGCGCUAAUACCGGAUACGCCCUCCUUGGGAGAGGGUUACUGCCGAAGGAUCCGCCCGCGCCUGCUCAGCUAGUUGGUGGGGUAAUGGCCUUCCCAGACGACGAUCAGUAGCUGGUCUGAGAGGAUGAUCAGCCCCCCUGGGACUGCGACACGGCCCAGACUCCUACGGGAGGCAGGAGUGGGGAAUAGUGGACAAAGGGCGCAAGCCUGAGCCAGCCCGGCCGCGUGAGUGAUGAAGGCCUUAGGGUUGUAAGGCUCAUUUGUCCGGGACGAUAAUGACGGUACCGGAAGAAUAAGCCCCGGCUAACUUCGU